rnacentral:rRNA from 1 species
GACGAACGCUGGCGGCGUGCUUAACACAUGCAAGUCGAACGGAAAGGCCCUGCUUUUGUGGGGUGCUCGAGUGGCGAACGGGUGAGUAACACGUGAGUAACCUGCCCUUGACUUUGGGAUAACUUCAGGAAACUGGGGCUAAUACCGGAUAGGAGCUCCUGCUGCAUGGUGGGGGUUGGAAAGUUUCGGCGGUUGGGGAUGGACUCGCGGCUUAUCAGCUUGUUGGUGGGGUAGUGGCUUACCAAGGCUUUGACGGGUAGCCGGCCUGAGAGGGUGACCGGCCACAUUGGGACUGAGAUACGGCCCAGACUCCUACGGGAGGCAGCAGUGGGGAAUACUGCACAAUGGGCGGAAGCCUGAUGCAGCAACGCCGCGUGCGGGAUGACGGCCUUCGGGUUGUAAACCGCUUUCGCCCGUGACGAAGCGUGAGUGACGGUAAUGGGUAAAGAAGCACCGGCUAACUACGUG